rnacentral:tRNA from 1 species
UGCUGCGCGGCACGGCGCGCAAGUGCAGCGCCAUCUCCUGCGUGGCGCGGGUAUCGAAAUACGAUUUCUCGCGUAGUGC